rnacentral:rRNA from 1 species
UACAGAGGGUGCAAGCGUUAAUCGGAUUUACUGGGCGUAAAGCGCGCGUGGGUGGCCAAUUAAGUCAAAUGUGAAAUCCCCGAGCUUAACUUGGGAAUUGCAUUCGAUACUGGUUGGCUAGAGUAUGGGAGAGGAUGGUAGAAUUCCAGGUGUAGCGGUGAAAUGCGUAGAGAUCUGGAGGAAUACCGAUGGCGAAGGCAGCCAUCUGGCCUAAUACUGACACUGAGGUGCGAAAGCAUGGGGAGCAAACAGG